rnacentral:misc_RNA from 1 species
CCCUCCCAUUUUUUCCCCUCCUCGCUUUCCCCCUUCUAAUUUUGCUUCCAAACACGGUACAAAGAAGAAAAUAUUUUCGAGGCUUAACGCGUUUCCCCUGGCUCACGCUCAAAGCUUGAUGGCGUCGGAAUCAGAACCAAACCCACUAGAAGAAGAAGAAGAACAACAACGAUACCAGCAAGACCAAGAAGCAGCCCUUGAGGCGCCUGCACAUCACCCUUCUGCCCCUCCCGAUGAGCUAUUUGACAUUUCAACUACAGUUGAUCCUAGUUAUAUUAUAUCUUUGAUACGAAAACUUAUUCCAACUGGUUUGGUGAAUGAUCACAACACUCAUGGAGUUGAUGCAAGCGAUGCC